GGAGUACGUUUGUUCAUAGAUUUUGGAUGAAUGUUUUUCAUAAAAGAGGCUUUAAAUAACACUGUUUGGCGAUCUUUGACAUGUGACUAUGCACUUCUGUAGUUUAGUUCAAUGUUUGAGAGACAUUCGAGACGUCAGGAUCCAACAGAAAGCGUGAAGAAGAGAAGGAAUUUGCGAAAGGCAGACGGAAGGAUCAUCUUUAUCGCUAUGAGACAUGGAAUUCACAUUACGUAAAGGCAGUCAACGAAGAAUUUGUUUGUAGUCACCUCCUGCAGUCACUGUCACAGUUCUCCAUAACCGAUGAAAGAGAAUGAUAUAUGUAGUCUGAAUAUGGUUUAUACUGCUUUGUAUCAAGUCUUGAACCAGUAAACUGAGGUUCCGAAUUGGAAACCUGUAACAACUCCA